AUACGGAGGGUGCAAGCGUUAAUCGGAAUUACUGGGCGUAAAGCGCUCGUAGGCGGUUGAUUAAGUCGGAUGUGAAAGCCCAGGGCUCAACCUUGGAACUGCAUUCGAUACUGGUAGACUAGAGUACAGUAGAGGCAAGUGGAAUUUCCUGUGUAGCGGUGAAAUGCGUAGAUAUAGGAAGGAACAUCAGUGGCGAAGGCGACUUGCUGGACUGAUACUGACGCUGAGGAGCGAAAGCGUGGGGAGCAAACGGGAUUAGAAACCCGAGUAGUCC
rnacentral:rRNA from 1 species